UACAGAGGGGGCAAGCGUUGUUCGGAAUUACUGGGCGUAAAGGGCGCGUAGGCGGCCUGUUAAGUCGAACGUGAAAUCCCUGGGCUCAACCCAGGAACUGCGUCCGAUACUGGAAGGCUUGAAUCCGGGAGAGGGAUGCGGAAUUCCAGGUGUAGCGGUGAAAUGCGUAGAUAUCUGGAGGAACACCGGUGGCGAAGGCGGCAUCCUGGACCGGCAUUGACGCUGAGGCGCGAAAGCCAGGGGAGCAAACGGG
rnacentral:rRNA from 1 species